GAAUUGGUAGUAAUCGCGGAUCAGCAGGCCGCGGUGAAUACGUUCUCGGGUCUUGUACACACCGCCCGUCAAGGCAGCAAAGUCGGUAACUAUCGAAUCUCGAUUUAUCGGGAGAGAUAGAGAUCGGUGAUGAAGCUUAAGUCGUAACAAGGUAUCCUUAGCCGAAGCUGAGGAUGGAUCACCUCCUUU
rnacentral:ncRNA from 1 species